AUUGAACGCUGGCGGCAUGCUUUACACAUGCAAGUCGAACGGCAGCGCGGGCUUCGGCCUGGCGGCGAGUGGCGAACGGGUGAGUAAUGCAUCGGAACGUGCCCAGUAGUGGGGGAUAGCCCGGCGAAAGCCGGAUUAAUACCGCAUACGACCUGAGGGUGAAAGCGGGGGACCGAAAGGCCUCGCGCUAUUGGAGCGGCCGAUGUCGGAUUAGCUAGUUGGUGGGGUAAAGGCUUACCAAGGCGACGAUCCGUAGCUGGUCUGAGAGGACGACCAGCCACACGGGAACUGGGACACGGCCCAGACUCCUAGGGAGGGCGGCAGUGGGGAAUUUUGGCCAAUGGGGGAAACCCUGAUCCGGCCAGGCCGGGUGCGGAAGAAGGCCUUCGGGUUGUAAACCGCUUUUGUUCGGGAAGAAAUCCUCUGGGCUAAUACCCCGGGGGGAUGACGGUACCGGAAGAAUAAGCACCGGCUAACUACGUG
rnacentral:rRNA from 1 species